GAUACGCGAAAAGACCGUACUGCCCCUUAUCCCAAAUGUCUUUAGGCCCAGAUCGCAAACAGUUGCUUCAUUUUCUCUGUUUCUUUCCGGCGUCGCUCGCUACGCAGCACGCGGCGGCGGCCCUGGGAACUUCGGCGGUGGCGACGACAGUACUCGGAUUUCUGACGCUGGAGAGCUCUGCAAGCAGGUCUACUGCUUCAUUCGAGGUAAGUGUCCCAGGUGCUGCUGAAGUGCUGAGCCCGAGCUUGAUGUCCUGUGCACGGCCUGGGCAUGGCGCAGGAUGGCCGUCCCGCCCUGCGCAGGACAGCCAUGGACGGUCCAUUCGGCUGCGGGGUGCGGCUCCUAGGGAGCUGAAGCUCCGUUCUUGAUCUGCGUUGAGGGCGGGCGCGGCCAACACACCGUGGUGGUGCGGCGAUGAUGAUGGGGAUUUACAGCAGCUAGCAAUUUCUUGUACCAGAUCCACGUUCAAGGCUGGGCGACACAUGAUCCACAUGGACGCCCUCCUUCCUCUUGCGGCAGUCUUGGAGAUGUAUCAACAUCACCCCCGUUUCGUCGGCGAGGUGAUCCACUCUGGUGCGGUUCUCAAUCUUACUUACGAGCUGGAUUGCAGUGAUGGAACAUGCUAUGUGACUCGCAUCAACCAGACGGACAGCUUCUUCUGGGCUAUAUAUCGACACCGGUUUGGGAAACACCAGUUGCCCCUUUUCCACGGUGGAAACGGCUUCCUUGGGAGCACAAGAUCCCACGGUUGAAUUGGUUUCUGAGUUUGGAGUUAGCUGGGCUAUCUUUGUCAAAUGUUCGCAGGUAGUAGUAUAUAACUUAACAAUGGUAUGCACAGGCCUGCUGCUUGCCUCUCUGCACAAAACAUUCUUUUGUUUAUGUUUUAUAAAAAGAAGAUGAAGGAAGCUUUAUUUUCAUUUCGAGAUUGAAAUA